rnacentral:rRNA from 1 species
UACGUAGGGCGCAAGCGUUGUCCGGAAUUAUUGGGCGUAAAGAGCUCGUAGGCGGCCUGUUACGUCUGCUGUGAAAUCCCGGGGCUUAACCCCGGGCGUGCAGUGGAUACGGGCAGGCUGGAGGCAGGCAGGGGAGAACGGAAUUCCCGGUGUAGCGGUGAAAUGCGCAGAUAUCGGGAGGAACACCGGUGGCGAAGGCGGUUCUCUGGUACGUGACUGACGCUGAGACGCGAAGCGUGGGGAGCGAACAGGA